CCCAGACUCCUACGGGAGGCAGCAGUGAGGAAUAUUGGUCAAUGGGCGAGAGCCUGAACCAGCCAAGUCGCGUGAGGGAGUACUGCCCUAUGGGUUGUAAACCUCUUUUGUCGGGGAGCAAAAGCCGGACGUGUCCGUCUGUGAGAGUACCCGAAGAAAAAGCAUCGGCUAACUCCGUGCCAGCAGCCGCGGUAAUACGGAGGAUGCGAGCGUUAUCCGGAUUUAUUGGGUUUAAAGGGUGCGCAGGCGGAUUUUUAAGUCAGCGGUCAAAUCGUGGGGCUCAACCCCAUCCAGCCGUUGAAACUGGGGAUCUAGAGUGUGCGAGAGGUAUGCGGAAUGCGUGGUGUAGCGGUGAAAUGCAUAGAUAUCACGCAGAACCCCGAUUGCGAAGGCAGCA
rnacentral:rRNA from 1 species